rnacentral:rRNA from 1 species
GAUGAACGCUGGCGGCGUGCUUAACACAUGCAAGUCGAACGGAAAGGCUCCUGCUUGCAGGGGUACUCGAGUGGCGAACGGGUGAGUAACACGUGGGUGAUCUGCCCAGCACUUCGGGAUAAGCCUGGGAAACUGGGUCUAAUACCGGAUAGGACGAUGGUUUGGAUGCCAUUGUGGAAAGUUUUUUCGGUGUGGGAUGAGCUCGCGGCCUAUCAGCUUGUUGGUGGGGUAAUGGCCUACCAAGGCGUCGACGGGUAGCCGGCCUGAGAGGGUGUACGGCCACAUUGGGACUGAGAUACGGCCCAGACUCCUACGGGAGGCAGCAGUGGGAAAUAUUGCACAAUGGGCGCAAGCCUGAUGCAGCGACGCCGCGUGGGGGAUGACGGCCUUCGGGUUGUAAACUCCUUUCGCUAGGGACGAAGCGCAAGUGACGGUACCUGGAGAAGAAGCACCGGCUAACUACGUG